UUCUCGGUGGUGCAGUUGGUUGGCAUGCUUAUAUAGAAACUAAGACAUUGUGGGUUCGAUCCCCACUCGGGGAC